AUGAGCGGUUACGAAAUGAUCAUAAUUCAUUUGACAGGGCUUUUACCAGCUGUUUGUCUGUGCAGAGCGGGAAUUUUACCUGGGAUUGGCUGGACCGAAAGUCAAAGUCCCCGCUAUUAGCAGGACCUUGGGGGCCCAUGCUGCAAUUGACUGUUGCAUUAUUUGGAUUUUUUCUUAACUUUACGACACGCCCCCCUACAGUAUUUUAUAGUCAAGUUUAGUAAUAUUUUUUUACAGAAAUUGGAUAACUUAACAAGUAAAGUAAACUGUACUGAGCUUUUAAACAAACCUACAUACUUAUAAAUCAAAAUUGAUAUUUUAGGGUCUACACUGAAUAAACCCAAAAUGUUAGUUUUGAUUUGCUAAAUUCGAACAGUAUUUAGUCAAUCCACACAAAAUUUACAGGAUCAUCAGAUAACAAAUUUUCUAAAAAUUCUCCGUUUGCCAAAUAGGGAAGACAGGAUUAAGUGGGAUUAAAAGGUUGCUAUCUGUGACCAAAAAAAUACUGUUCAAAAUUGUGAGUAUUCAUUUAUCUUUCGUUCAGUAUAGAGCAUGCAAUGGCAUAGUGGUUGGAUUAGAUAAUCUGACAGCGGUGCUGGACGUCAGGAGUUCAAAUAUUGUUGUGAGUUCAAUGUACCAAAAGAAUACCUUUGGAAUACACUACCGGGUAUUAUCUAUAAAAAUGGCAGAGCAAAUUGCCCAUAUUGUAGUAAUGUCUUAGAUCCAGCUUGGAUAACUUGGACACAGUAAGCGGUUCACACCCAGGGAAAUUCUCAGAUAAAACAGCGCCUAUAAACUUGAACAUUACAUUUUUCAUUGAGACAAUUAAAGAAAAAACAUUAUUGCUGAUCUUCUGAAAACAAAUCCUCUAACAUUCAAAUAUUUAAUUUGUUGGAUGAACUAAGGUUUACAUUGAUAAGAGAUUGCUUCAGUUGGAUUUAAACUAAUCACCAACAAAAAUAUAUGCAUUUAUAUCACACAAUGUAAACAACUGCGCCACAGAUCUUAUCUGUAUGUUUUGGGUUUUUAAAAUUUAGCAGUUAAAUAUAGAUUAGCAUACUGGUAGGUCUGGUUGGUCUGUUGCUUUAGUUGCUAAGUAAACAUAAUGUCAGUGAUUUCAUCACUAUUUCUAUUAAAAUAUCAGUUUUCCUCUUCAGGGCUUCUCACAUUUGCACCAUUUUUUUACCAUUUGAAUCAUAAAAAGAUAACAAACACAUGAACUUAACACUUUGUGAAUAUUUAAGGAAUGUAAGGGGUCAGAUUUCAGAUUGCUCAUUAUUGCUGGAACACUAAAUACUUUAUUUGAUUGUGUACACUGCACUUUCUUGUUAAGCAUUCAUCCAAAUCAUUUGGGUAAAUUUUGGCAGAAAAACUGCUUUUGGAUUUAUACUGGUCAUCAAAACCGGCACUGACAAAACAUAAGACGUGUUUAAUUAAUGUGCGGGAAAGAGGUUUAAAGGUGUCGGCCCACAACGAAAGGCUUGCGGGUAACAGUACCCCUUUAAGUAGUUCUUGAAAAAAAUGAUUCUCUGAGGUAGCAUUUGAUUAUGUGUACAUUGUAUUCUUGUAUGUAUUUUCAAGUUAACACAUGAUUUAUAUAAGGUUUGUAUAAUUUUAGUUUUAUUUAAGUUUUAAAAUUUUGAUAUUUUUUUUAAGAUUUGCCUGCCCCUGUCUGAACACUUAAAUUCUUGGUCUUUGGUCUAUUGUCUGCAACUUCAAAACACACUUUUUGGAACAGGACACAUUUUCCUGAUAUUUUAUCCAGUUUGACUGCAAUAUAAGUUGUAUUUAUCAAUAAUUUAAGUAAAAAAUGACAUUUAUGUUUCCAUAAUUACCUGGUAGUUAUUUGUUAAUUUGUUUUAAUUCAUGGAUAGGUUUAUUGCAGUGUCAUGGAAAGCUGGAACUUUUCAGUACACAACAUGCAAACUGAGAAUGAACUGUGUGUGCCGGCUUUGUGAACAAAAACGCAAGGCGGCUAUGAUACACUGUGUUGUGUGUGGAUAAGAAAUGCAGAGUGGUACCACCAAUUACCUAAGUAACCAUUCCCCUAACAGACAAAAGGCUCAUGGGGACAGUUCCUGCAGUUUACAGCAAAUUGUAGCCCUACAAACUUCAGAUACUGCCAAGCUUGGGUGCACUGGGCCGGUUAUCCAGCCGUGUGGAAUCAACAUCUCCAGCUGAACUUGGGCCGGGAAUUAUAUAAGAAUCCUUAGCAGCAUGAGUGCCAGCCAGUCAUUGCUGUUCUUUGCAUUGCUGAGGAGGACAGUCCUGCCAACAUAACAGUUUGUUCAAUAACAGGAGACAAACAGAAACACAGAGGUGCUAUACAUUCCGAUGGAAAAUACAACAAAAGCAUCUCCCAUCAUUUUGGCGUGGCUCAGAUCAAGAGGAGAAUUUUAAGAAAGGUGAUGGUUGGGCACACACAAGAAGACAUAGAUCACAUGUGUCCAGGCAUAUGAGUAGACAGGAGUUUCACACUCUGCCAAACUUACUUCAUCAGAGGAGCAGAAAGCUUCUCAAGAUCCCGCACUGCACACUUAGAUAUAGUCUUUGACUACAACAAGGGGAUGAAAGUACAGAGAGGUCCAAUUGAAAUCAAUUCUGUGCUGCGUCAUUUCUUCAUUCUGGAAGUCGAUGGACAUGAUUUAUCAUGGCAUCAGGUGUGCAGUUUGUCGACUAUCAGCAGUCUUGUUCACCAGUUGUGCAACUUGAGCUGGUAGCUUUAUUGCUUGAAGCCACAUCAUAAGAGGGGGAAGGUGCAGGCUCAUCAAAAAGUCUCAAAAGUUGAAACUAGGAAAAGAAGUUCGUCAAGAGUGUGAAUAUUUGCUUUGAAAACCAUCGUUACGAUGAUUUGGUUUCCUUUGAAACUUGAUACAUACUAUGUGUAUGUUGAAUGAAUUGAGAUGCUUAAAUAAAGAACCGCUAUUCAAAUAUCAGGAAACUGCAUUUUUCAUACUAAAGGGUAAAUGAUGUCGCCAUUUCCUGUAUGUAUUUAAAUGAGAUAUGUUUCCACAAUUAAUAUUUUUAGGGAAUUUUUCUCAUCCUAAUGAAUGAGAUUAAAUUGUACAGCGUUAUAUGAGCUUAAUAUGUGUUUUCUGUUUCUUUAAAAUUGGUGAAAAAUUGUCAGAAGAUAAUUAGACCAUUAUCCAUUACUGCAAUCAUACAAUCAAAUAUACAGGGACAAACCCACUGGGCAUAUAAUAUAAUUAAACCCUGUUCAGGGGCACGAGGCAAACAGAGUUACUUUCAAACGUUAAAGCUGCACUCUCACAUUUUGGACGUUUUGACAACUUUUCUCAUUUUAUGUCUUGGAUUGGAACCAUCCAAUUUUUGCGAAAAAUUAAAUGGCAGAUUUUUCUAUUUAAGUUAAAACAUUGAUGUUUUAUGCACUUUUCUUAAACCGUUAGUAACAUUAAUUUUUGAACGGAAAUAUGAAAUCUGUGAUCUGAUCUUUUGUCAGCAAUCUUUUAUCAUUGGUUUGCAGAUAAUUACGCAAAAAAUUGCUCAUUCAAAAACAAAAAAAGUUGUGAAAACGGUAUAUCUGUGGGAGUGCAGCUCUAAAUGUUUAAUUUCUUGAUUUUACUACUGUAUUAGAAAUAACAGGGGUUGGGGCAUAUUUUUAGUGUUUUUAUUGCUUUUUAUGAUUCAUACAGUCAUACUUUAUUCCUCAGGGCAUAACUUACAAAUAGACAAAACUGGAAAAUGGUCGUUUCAAAAGGCCAAAGAUAAUGCAAGUUGAACAACCAUAUUGUUCAUGGCUUGUAUUUUUGGUAUAUUUUGUUGCAUAUGCUAUAGAAAAGUUGAAAGUUAAAAAUAAAUUCAUAGUUGAAAUGAUGGCUUUGAAUGGUAUUGUCAGAUGAGAAAAGGCACUUUUAAGAAAUAGGUAUAAUGGUACUUUAUUUAUUUUGAUCAAUUUUAGAUAUUGUAUAAAAAUUAUUAUCUUAUUUAGUACAUGAGACCUUUUAAACAGUUAUUGACAAUAUAACAAUGUGUAUAUGAAGCUUUAGAUCAACACUUAAAGCUGCACUCUUACAGAUUGUCAGUUAAGACACAAAAUUGUCUCAAAAUCUGCUGAUUUGGUUAUCAUUCCUUUAAUUCAGUCAUAUUAGAUAAUUCACAAUAAAACCCAUCAGAAAUGUAAAAGUGCCGAAAAUUUCAUUUACAUUAAAUUGUUCGUAAUGCUUUUAGCCAUAAAACAUCAUUUUUUUAACAUAAAUAUGAUAAACUGCUAUCUGAUCUUUUUUCAGCAUUCUUAUAUCACUUAAAAUUGGGUCUAGACAUUUAUGCAAAAAAAUUGUCCAUUUAUAGACAAACAAUAAAAGAGUACCGGUAGUCAAAACGAUCAAUCGUUGAGAUUGCAGCUUUAAAUACACCUUUUAAGACCGCUGUAAAAUUCCAAUGGUUUGCCUAAAUCGUUAAAGCUAGCAUACUGUUUAAUUAACAACCAUACUUAUUGUUUAAAAGUGUCAUGAUAUCUUUGUACAAUGUUUUUUAUAUAAUUCAUUAAAGAAGUCAAAACAAAUUUGUUUAUCUUGUAAAUUGUUUUCUAUUAUUUAAAUGACCCAGACAAAUAUGGGAACGUCA